rnacentral:rRNA from 1 species
GAGUUUGAUCCUGGCUCAGGAUGAACGCUAGCGGCAGGCCUAACACAUGCAAGUCGAGGGGUAGCAGGGUAGCAAUAUCGCUGACGACCGGCGCACGGGUGAGUAAUGCGUAUGCAACCUUCCUUUAACUGGGGCAUAGCCCGGAGAAAUUCGGAUUAAUACCCCAUAACAUCAUGAAAAGGCGUCUUUUUAUGAUUAAAGCUCCGGCGGUUAAAGAUGGGCAUAUGUGCCAUUAGCUUGUUGGUGAGGUAACGGCUCACCAAGGCUACGAUGGCUAGGGUGUCUGAGAGGAUGAUCCCCCACACUGGUACUGAGACACGGACCAGACUCCUACGGGAGGCAGCAGUGAGGAAUAUUGGGCAAUGGGCGCAAGCCUGACCCAGCCAUGCCGCGUGAAGGAUGAAUGCCCUAUGGGUUGUAAACUUCUUUUGUACGGGACAAAACUCCUGGUCGUGACCGGGAUUGAUGGUACCGUACGAAUAAGCAUCGGCUAACUCCGUGCCAGCAGCCGCGGUAAUACGGAGGAUGCAAGCGUUAUCCGGAUUCAUUGGGUUUAAAGGGUGCGUAGGCGGAAUAGCAAGUCAGCGGUGAAAGCCUGUGGCUUAACCAUAGAAAUGCCGUUGAUACUGUUAUUCUUGAGUGUAGUUGAAGUGGGCGGAAUGUGUUAAUGUAGCGGUGAAAUGCUUAGAUAUUACACAGAACACCAAUUGCGAAGGCAGCUCACUAAGCUAAUACUGACGCUGAGGCACGAAAGCGUGGGGAGCAAACAGGAUUAGAUACCCUGGUAGUCCCGCCGUAACGAUGAUCACUCGUUGUUGG